rnacentral:tRNA from 1 species
UAGUAAGAUGGCUGAGUUAAGCAACAAACUGUAGAUUUGUUUACGGGGUUAAUGCCCCUCUUAUUACC